GGCGGUUGCCGUUGGGGGUGACCCGUUGGGGUCUGGUGGAGGUGCCGGUCCUUUGGGCCGGUGACUCUGGACGCGAGCCUAGCAGGGGUUAACUGGAGGAAGUCUCCGCCGGGUGACUGGUGGCCCGCAGCUAGGAGACGUGGCGCUUUGAUAAGCUUCCCUGAGGAGAGGCCCAUAUGCUAAGAAAAUAAGGGUGGCCUCCUACCAGCAGCCAGCAAGAAAGCAACACCCUCAGUCUGACAACCCAGAAAGAACUGAAUCCUGCCAACCACCAUGUAAAGCUGAAGCAGUGGCAACUAUUUUGCAUGGGUUUCACACGUGAGCACGGUCACAGAAGGAAUUUGUUCAGAGGCCAACUUCUGUCUUCUGAAAUAUUUUCUUCCUUCUCUCUAAAAACACAGAUAUAAUUACUGGAGCUCCAGUAGCCACGUUGGGCCAUGAGACAACCUGGAGGAAGAAAAUCUCUUGCUAAGGAUGAUGGUGAGCUGAAAGGUAAAAGGAAACUAGGUCCCUGAUGACCAUGGAGCCACCGAACCAACCUUGGACUAUCAACCUCUUGACUUCUUUUAUGCAAGAGAAAUGAAACCUUUAUUUUGUUUAAGCCUAAAAUUGGGUUUUCUGUUAUAUGCAGCUGAACCAAAUGCUAACUUAUACACUGCCAUUUUGCUGUUCUCGGUGGCUUGAAUCAACAUUUCCUUCCUUCUAUGUCCUUUCCCUGCCACAACCACUCCACCUAUCCUUAAAUCUAGGGGUUGGAAAAUUUUUCUUUCA
rnacentral:lncRNA from 1 species